GAUGAACGCUGACAGAAUGCUUAACACAUGCAAGUCAACUUGAACUUCGGUUUGGGUGGCGGACGGGUGAGUAACGCGUAAAGAACUUGCCUCACAGCUAGGGACAACAUUUGGAAACGAAUGCUAAUACCUGAUAUUAUGAUUAUAUGGCAUCGUAUAAUUAUGAAAGCUAUAUGCGCUGUGAGAGAGCUUUGCGUCCCAUUAGCUAGUUGGAGAGGCAACAGCUCACCAAGGCGAUGAUGGGUAGCCGGCCUGAGAGGGUGAUCGGCCACAAGGGGACUGAGACACGGCCCUUACUCCUACGGGAGGCAGCAGUGGGGAAUAUUGGACAAUGGACCGAGAGUCUGAUCCAGCAAUUCUGUGUGCACGAUGAAGUUUUUCGGAAUGUAAAGUGCUUUCAGUUGGGAAGAAAAAAAUGACGGUACCAACAGAAGAAGUGACGGCUAAAUACGUG
rnacentral:rRNA from 1 species